AUUGAACGCUGGCGGCAGGCUUAACACAUGCAAGUCGAACGGUAACAGAACUAGCUUGCUAGUUGCUGACGAGUGGCGGACGGGUGAGUAACGCGUAGGAAUCUACCGAGUAGUGGGGGACAACAGUUGGAAACGACUGCUAAUACCGCAUAAUGUCUUCGGACCAAAGAGGGGGAUCUUCGGACCUCUCGCGCUAAGAUUAGCCCAGGUGAGAUUAGCUUGUUGGUGAGGUAAGAGCUCACCAAGGCGACGAUCUCUAGCUGGUCUGAGAGGAUGAUCAGCCACACUGGAACUGAGACACGGUCCAG
rnacentral:rRNA from 1 species